rnacentral:rRNA from 1 species
UACGUAGGUGGCAAGCGUUAUCCGGAAUUAUUGGGCGUAAAGGGUGCGUAGGCGGUUUAAUAAGUCUGAAGUAAAAGGCGAUGGCUCAACCAUUGUUGGCUUUGGAAACUGUUAGACUAGAGUGCAGGAGAGGCAAAUGGAAUUCCAUGUGUAGCGGUAAAAUGCGUAGAUAUAUGGAGGAACACCAGUGGCGAAGGCGGUUUGCUGGCCUGUAACUGACGCUGAGGCACGAAAGCGUGGGGAGCAAAUAGGAUUAGAUACCCUAGUAGUCCACGCCGUAAACGAUGAGAACUAGGUGUUGGGGAAACUCAGUGCCGCAGUUAACGCAAUAAGUUCUCCGCCUGGGGAGUAUGCACGCAAGUGUGAA